rnacentral:lncRNA from 1 species
ACUCAGUCCGACAUGUAUUUUGUGCACAUAUUUGGUUUUAUUUUGCUGAGUGUUUUUAAUUUAAAAUUUAAAAUUUCAUCUAAAAUGUAAAAAUUAACCUUUCCAAGACUGAUCCCCUGCAGGAAAGCCUUGUGGAUAAGAAGUCGCCCUCCUGCAAAGCUGCACAGAAGCUAAGUACAGUGCAGUGCUUAAGGCAGUCAAUCCCGUUCAACCACAAGGCUUGACUUCAACUUCCCGAUCAUGCAUCAAAGAAGGAGGUGCUGCCUCAACAGUGAGCUCUUCCGUGAUAAACCCUGCCACGGGCAACCACUAAGAAUAAUCCCUAGCCACCAGAUCAUUCCAUAAUAGACGCUAAUGCCUAUUCUCCCAAACACACAUCUUGAGAUGGAAGGAUGGAGCUAAACCCAAGAUUCUGUCAUGUUAUAUGGUUGUUUUAUCCUAGUCUCUUACUAUGUGAAGUGUGUGUUUUGCCUAUUGCUUUCCUAAUUGUGUAGUUAAAAAUCCCUCAGCUUGACAGUGUGGGGAGAUGCAAGUCAUUCAAGUUUGCAGAACCAAGUACAGCAAAGGACAGAGGGACACAAAAGGAGAACUUCAGAGAUCCAUAGAAAGUUCCCCUGGAGGAUUCAACCAAAUUGAUCAGUACAUUAGUACAAGGAAAACUACCUACAGCUGGGGAAAGAAACAUCCAAAAGGAUUAGGGCAGACAAUGCCCGGUGCUCACACACAGGCACAGGGAUAAUGCCAGUUCCCAUCAGUCAGAUGGAAAAAAAAAAACAAAGCUAGUGGAAACAAAUCCAUCCAGGAACCAUAAGGUUGUGGGUUUGAUCCCUGGCCUCGCUCAGUGGGUUAAGGAUCUGGCGUUGCUGUGAGCUGUGGUGUAGGUCAUAGAUGCAGCUUGGAUCUAGUGUUGCUGUGGUGUCAGCCGGCAGCUGCAGCUCCAAUUUGACCCCUAAUCUGGCAACUCCCACAUGCCACAGGCAAGGCCCUAAAAAGACGAAAAAAAAAAAAAAAAACAGAGUCCAAAUAUGAAAAUGUUGUAAAAGGAAUAGCUCAGGCAGCAGGAAGUAGAUACCAAGUGAAAGCACAAAUCUCCACCAAGGAAGGAGGAACCCCAGAGAUGGUAAAUAUACGUUAUUGUUGUAUAGAUAUGUUUAAAAGAUAACAGACAGCAUAUACAAAAAUCAAAACAAAGUAUUGUGGAGUUCAUAGUAUAUGCAAAAGUAAAACACAGGGUAGCAGCAGCAUAAAAGUUUUGGGGGAGAAAUGGAAGUCUACUCAGGAAAGGUUCUCAUCCUCCAUGUGAAGUUGAAUAAUAGCGCUUAAUAUAUGCAAUAAACCCUGAAGCAGCCACAUAAAAUUUUUUAAAAGUGUUAAGACUUAAUGAGCCAACAAAGGAGACAAAAUGAGAUCAUAAAAAAUACUCAUUAAACCCAAAGAAGGGAGAAAAAGAAGAAAAAGAAACCAAGAAUAGCCAGGACACAUAGACAAUAAAUACUAAGUUGACAGAUUUAAGCCUAACAGAAUUAAUGACCACAUUCAAUCUACAUUACUUGAAACAUCCCACAUAAAGGGCACAGAUAGACUGGGUAAAAAAGCAAGACCUAAUUACAUGCUGCCUUUAAACUACAUGUACAUAUGAACAAAUAAGCAAAUCUAAACAAACAAAAAAGUAAAUAAACAAAAAGAGAUUAUACUAUACAACAGUAGACAAAAGAAAGCUGGAGCAGGUAUAUUAAUAUCAGGCAAAGUAGAUUUCAGAGCAAAGAAUAUUAUCAAGGUCAUUUCCUAAUGAUGAAGGGGUCAAUUAAUCAAGAGGGCAUGAUAACUCUAAAUGUGAAUAAUAACAGUGUUUUAAAAUAAAUGAAGCAAAAACUCUGAGACUGCAAGAAGAAAUAGAAAAAUCCACUAUUACAGGCAGAUGUUUCGAUAUGCAUUUUCUCAAUAACUGUUAGAAUAAAUAAAUCAGCAAAGAUAAAGUAGACUUGAACAAUAUUAACCUGAUCAGAGUAACAUUUGAGAGCACUUUACCCAGCAAUGGCAGACUACAUAUUAUUCUCAGCUGCCCAGAGAAUAUUUAUUGAAGUAGACCAUAUUCUAGGCCAUAAAGCAUAUCACAAUAAAUUUAGAAGGAAGCAAGUGAUACAUAGCAGAGAAGACAUUCAGAAGAAGAAAGAUAAUGUCACCACAAAUUCAACAGAUAUCACAAGGAUUAUAGAAAAUACUAUAAACAACUUUAUGCUUAUAAAUCCAAUCACUUAGAUGAAAUGCACCAAUUUUUUGAAAGCCACGAAGCUCACUGACGAAGAAAUGGGAUAACCUGAAAAGCUUAUAUCAAAGAAAAGGAAUUUGCAGGUUUGAAACGUCACACAAAGAAAUUUCUUAGGCCCAGAUGGGUUCACUGUUGAAGUCUAUCAUCUAACAAAAAAAUAAGACCAAUUCUGCUCAAUCUGUACCAGAAAACAAUGAGAGGAAAUGCUUCUCAACUCAAUCUAUGAGUCCAACAUUAUUCUAAUACAAAAACUAAACAAGAACAUUACAGGAGAAUGAAACUUAUAUAGCCCCAUAUCCAUUGUAAAUAUAGAAGUAAAGAAUUUUAGCAAAACUUUAGGAAAUUCAUGAUGGAUAAAAAGAUUUAACCUAGGAACCUAUGGUUGGUUUAACAUUCAAAAACCAAUCAGUGUCAUUCACCAUAAUAAGACUAAAUAAAAAAGGGAAACUGUACACAUAUCCCAAGAGAUACAUAAAAGCAUUUGACCAAAUCUAACACCCAUUCCUAAUAAAAACUCACGUUAAACUAGGAACAGAAGAAAACGUCCUCAGUCCUGAAAAGGGGCAUCUACAAAAUACCUACAGCUGGAGUUCCCACUGUGGCGCAGCAGAAAUGAAUCCAACCAGGAACCACGAGGUUGCGGGUUCGAUCCCUGGCCUCGAUCAGCGGGUUAAGGAUCCUGUGUUGCCGUGAGCUGUGGUGUAGGUCGCAGACGCGGCUCAGUUCUGGCGUUGCUUCGGCUCUGGAUAGGCCAGCAGCUGUAGCUCUGAUUAGACCCCUAGCCUGAGAACCUCCAUAUGCCUCGGGUGCGGCCCUAUAAAGACAAAAGACAAAAACAAAACAAAACAAAAUAGAUUCGGAAGAUGACAGUCAUUUCUGCUUUUAGCCCUUCUAUUCAACAUUGAACUAGAGGUUCAAACCAGUGGAAUGAAACAAGAAAAAGAAAACAAAAGUCACCCCAAUUAUAAAGGAAUAACGGAAAAUGUCUUCAUUCACAGACGACAUGAUUAGUGGAAUCGGCAGAAGAGCUUAGUAGAACGAAUAAAAUCUGACUUCUAGGUAUAAACCCAAAGGAAAUGAAAUCAUUAUCUUCAUGAGCUAUCUGAACCCCCAUGUUCAUUACAGCAGUAUUCACAAUAGCCAAGACAUGGAGACGACCUGAGUGUCCGUCAGUGGAUGCACGGAUAAGAACAUGUGGUACAUACAUACAAUGGAACACUCUUCAGCCGUAAGGAAAAAAAGGUUGAUCCUGCCAUUUACAACAACAUGGAUGAACGCUGAGGGCAUUCUGCUAAAUGAACUAGGACAGAGGAAGAAAAAUAACCUUACGAUCUCAUUUGGACAUGAAUCUAAAAAUCAAACAAACAAACAACGGAUGUCCUAGAUACGGAGAAGAGAUUGGUGGCCGCCUGGGGGUGGGGGGUGGGGGCAACAUGAGUGAAGAGGGUCAAAAGGUGCAAGCAUCCAGUUAUCAAAGAGUAGAUCUUCUAAGUUCUCAUCACAAGAAAAAACUCUGUGUAGCUGUAUGGUGAAAGAUGGUAACUAGCCUUAUUGUGGUGAUCAUUUCACACGAUAUACAAAUAUCAAAUCAUUAUAUUGCACACCUGAAAUUUUCUAUCCACUGAAAACUACAAAAUAUUGUUGAAAGAAAUUAAAGAAGACAUAAUAACUGGAAUGAUAUAUCUUGUUUGUAGGUCAGAAGAUCAUACAUGGACAACUGAUUUUUGAUAAAGAUACAAAGGCAUGGGGAGUUCCCGUUGCGGUUCUGCGGAAAUGAAUCUGACCAGCAUCCAUGAGAGUGCAAGUCUGAUCCCUGGCCUUGCUCAGUGGGUUAAAGACUGGGUGUUGCCGUGAGCUGGAUGUAGGUCACAGACGUGGCUUGGAUCUGGCAUUGCUGUGGCUGUGGCAUAGGCCAGCAGCUGUAGCUCUCAUUCUGCUCCUAGCCUGGCAACUUCCAUAUGCCUCAAGUGCAGCCCUAAAAAGACAAAAAAAAAAAAAAAAAAAAAGAGAAAAAGAGAGAAGGGAAGAGAAAAAGACCUUUGAUGCAUACUUUGCCUUAUAUGCAAAAAAUUAAUUCAACAGGGAUCAGAGACCCAAAUGUAAAACUGAAACUAUGAAACUUCCAAAAGAAAACAUCAGAGAAAAAUCUCAAGACCUUUUCUUAAAUUCAAUACCAAAGCGUGAGCCAUAAGAGAACAAAGCGAUAAAUUACACGAUCAAAAUUUGAAACUUCUUUCAAGUAUUAAAAAAAGAAAAAGAAAAAGAAAAAAUACUCUAUGGACUGGAAGAAAAUAUUCAGAAUAUAUAUCUUAUAAAGGACUUGUAAUCAGAAUAUAUAAGGAACUCUCAAAAUUCAACAAUAAGCAAACAACGCAAUUUUCAAAAAUGAGUGAAAGAUUUUAACUUCAUUAAAGAAGAUAUCUCUAGGGGGAAAAAAGCAGAUGAAAAGAUGCUCAACAUCAUUAGGCAUUAUAGAAAUGCAGAUUAAAACUACAGCGAGAUACCAUUACAUAGCUAUAAAACCACAGUACAUACCUAUUAAAACUACAGGGAGAGACCAUUACCUACCUAUAAAAACGGCUGAAGCAUGUAUGGGUACACGAGAGGAAGUGGAACUCUCAUACGCCAAUGGUAGAAAUGCAAAAUGGUACAAGCGCUUUGUAAAGGAGUCUGGCGUUUUCCUCGAAGGUUAACAUGUACAGGCAGA